rnacentral:misc_RNA from 1 species
AUUGCCCAAUACUAUAUUUAUAUAAUAUAUGUUUAUUACUCCAUUCAUCAGCAAUAAGGAAUGAAUUACAAUGGAGGAGGGAGCAAGUCAAAGCUUAAGUCAAGGUUGAUAUUAGUUGGUUGGCUGCAUAAAAGGAAGUCAGUUAGCAAAGUUGCUAACAAGUUAGUUGUUUGAGUGUGUUGGGCAGGUAAUACAAAAGGAGGAGCUGGAUUGUAACAAUUCAUUGUGAAUGAAAAUAUCAGAAAUUCCCGAAUUCAUUGUUGUUGUUGUUGUUGUUGUGUCUUUAUUAAAAAUUAUCUAUUUCACAAAUUUAUUUAAAAUAAUUGAAAUAUGAAAAUAAAUUACAGCAAUCUCGUUGCCAAGAUUUUUUUGAUAGCUCAAAG